rnacentral:rRNA from 1 species
UACAGAGGGGGCAAGCGUUGUUCGGAAUUACUGGGCGUAAAGGGCGCGUAGGCGGCCUUCUAAGUCGAACGUGAAAUCCCCGGGCUCAACCCGGGAACUGCGUCCGAUACUGGAAGGCUUGAAUCCGGGAGAGGGAUGCGGAAUUCGAGGUGUAGCGGUGAAAUGCGUAGAUAUCUGGAAGGAACACCGGUGGCGAAGGCGGCAUCCUGGACCGGUAGUUGACGCUGAGGCGCGAAAGCCAGGGGAGCAAGCGGGG